AAGUACACAAAAGUCAAAUCAUGUUCACAAUGACUUCUUCCAAUGAAACCUUAAAAGCCAAAGUUUUUUCUACUCCCUCAACCAAAUUACUGCAACCUUCUCCAUAGGAACCAAAAUUUUGUUCUACCCUUGGCAUAAUUCCUGAAACCUGGAUUCAACUCAGGUGGAGAAGAUUGAAGAUGACUAUGAAUAACCUCAUGAACUUUGAAAGUCAAGAGAGUCAGCCUCCAGAAGUCUGGCAGCUGUAGAGUUGAUUUUUUUCAUGACAAAACCAAAAUGGCUAACAGAGAGUUGAUACCAAAAAUAAAAGUAGAGUGAGAAUAAAAGAGCAAUUGGUUGUCCUUCAUGUAUUCAAGUCAUCUGGCCCAACUUAACUACAUCCCUGGGAUCUGAAAGAACUGACUGAUGUGUUAACUGAACCAUUGUCAUUAAUAUUUAAAUAUAAUUUAUCUAGAUCUUAGCAAAGUUUUUCAUAAAGAAUUUCAUAAAUUUCCAGUUGCUGAAGAAGACAGACACAGGGCCAAGGCCAACACCAAUGUUGCGCUACCUGGAGAUGUAGACUGAAGCCAGAGACCUUGGCAGGGGGUGGAACUUGGUCCCAACCACUCCACCCAGAACUAUUGCAGAGUCAUGGCAGUGCAUCCAAACUGCAUGGAAGACAAAGUAGGCCCACCCUGUCAAAGGCUGUAGGAGUAAAGAGAGCUCAAAUCCGACACAAAGUCAGAAUUUAAAGAAUUAUUCUGGAGAUAUGAGGAAACAGAAAAGAAUGACUUUACAAUAAGUAUGAGUAAAUCUUCAGGAAAAAAAGAAUGACUUGGCUACAAGGAUUAGAAGAGUAGAUAAAAGAAAUCACAUGAGAUUUUUUUUUAAAUGAAAUUAGAGCUGUUGAAGAAAAAAUUUGAAGGAGAAUAAACAGCUCAGAAGAGAAAUGGAAAACAAGAUCCAAGUAAUGAGCUCCAAGAAAAAUCGAAUACAGCAGAAUUCAAUUCAGAAUUCAAUUCAAAAAGUUGAAUAGAAUUCAAUGAUUCUAUGAAAUAAUAUCAGAACAUUUUUCAAUUAUAUCUCCUCAACCUGUUUUUUUUAGGUUAGUUGUUUCCUAAAUUGAAAACCCCCAGUGGUAUAAGACAAAAUUCAGUUUCCAGAAGAAAGAAAAAACACUGCAAGAAACCUGAAAGAAAGAAUUCAAGUACCAAGGAACCAAGUCAGAAUCAUAC